rnacentral:rRNA from 1 species
UACGUAGGGGGCAAGCGUUGUCCGGAAUUAUUGGGCGUAAAGAGCGCGUAGGCGGUCCGAUAAGUCGGCUGUGAAAGUCAGGGGCUCAACCCUUGAAAGCCGGCCGAUACUGUCGGACUAGAGUCCGGAAGAGGCAAGUGGAAUUCCCGGUGUAGCGGUGAAAUGCGCAGAUAUCAGGAAGAACACCCGUGGCUAAGGCGGCUCUCUAGUACGGUACUGACGCUGAGACGCGAAAGCGUGGGGAGCGAACAGGG